CUUAAAGGGUUUCUGGCCUUCUCUUCUCAGUUCUUCCCAGAGUCAGGAAAAGCUGGGUUGAGAAGGCAAGAAAAAAACAACA
rnacentral:pre_miRNA from 12 species